rnacentral:rRNA from 1 species
UACGAAGGGGGCUAGCGUUGCUCGGAAUCACUGGGCGUAAAGCGCACGUAGGCGGCUUGUUAAGUCAGGGGUGAAAUCCUGGAGCUCAACUCCAGAACUGCCUUUGAUACUGGCAAGCUUGGAGUCCGGGAGAGGUGAGUGGAACUGCGAGUGUAGAGGUGAAAUUCGUAGAUAUUCGCAAGAACACCAGUGGCGAAGGCGGCUCACUGGCCCGGUACUGACGCUGAGGCGCGAAAGCUAGGGGAGCGAACGGG